UUCAUUGAGUUAGUUUCUACUUACAGUCAGUGAUGCUGGCUUUUCAUUUACGGUCAUGACAAACAAUUUCCUUUAAAGAGAUCUCAGAUUUUAAGAAGAAGAGUCCAUUUAAAGGAAAAUAUCCAGGAAAUAACAGCAGGUGCGGUAGGAAGGUGGUAUUGGACGGACCUUGAGAUUUGAGAAACUGAGGCUCCGGCAGCCUGACAGUUGCUAUGUGACCCAGAACAAGUUGCCUCGGCUCUCUGAUGCUCGGUUUUCUCCCUCUGAAAAUCCUGUAAAUAGUUUUGGUGAUUAGGUGAGAAGACACAGUUGCUUGACCCUGGGACUGGGUCUCUCCCUUGCCUCGCUCGUGUUUUGUCUUCCUGACUCAGAAAACAAGCUGGGGAUGGAAACUGACUCCUAAAGUGAGUUUUCAGGGGCAGCACCAAGUUUCUUAUCGGGACCUCCUGUUGUGAGACGACUCAGAAUAUAACUCCAUUGAGCACUAGAAGAAGAAGAAAACCUCAGAGCACCUCCACUUUCUCAUCUGGAAAAUGGGGAUGAUCCCAGUCCUACUCCCAGAAGGUCCCCCGAGAGCCAAGCCACCAAGUCUUAAAGAAAGGGUUAAACUAAAUCUAGAGCAGUGACAUUUACAAUGCAUGAAGUUUAAACA
ensembl:lncRNA